AUCUCAUUCUCCCUAGCACAGACAACUGAAGCAAUCGAUGGAACCUCUCGACUGAAACCACUGUUCCUCACGCUCGCUAGCUCCACCGUUGUCGUUCCCUUUCACCAUAACCACCGUUCCUCACGCUCGCUAGAUCCUCCACCGGAGUCAGUGGUCGAAUCCACAGUAUGCGGUGGUGAAUGGGUUUCCCUUCGCGUGUCCGCCGCUCGUCGCUCGCAAACCGUCAUCCUCCAUCGCCAGUUAACAAGCUUAAGGGAAAAGUCUGAACCGUCAUCCUCCAUCGCCGGAGCUUAAGGAGCAACAAAAGUUCAAGGUCAUCCAUACCAGCUUCCAGCUUAUUAAGCAGCUCACGCAAGGGAUACAUCUGAGGAUGAGAUAUUGGCUAUCAGUGGCUUGGAUGCUGUGGUUUUUGUAAGGAUACUUGUGUUUAGUGUUAGAGGAACCAUUGAUAGGGACAAAAAGACUUGUGCUUGCUGCUUCAUCAAACACAGAAUCUGUUUCUGUAGCUAAUUCACAGGUUGAUUUUGAAACACAAAUUGCUGCAAGAGACUCACAGGAGAAUGAAGAUGGUGCCCACAAAAAAUCAAAUGAUGAAAUCUACUUGGAGGUUGUUGGGGGUGCGAACAAGAAGGGGCGGAUUUAUGGAUUAGGUGCAAAGGCUGUAAAGUUCAAACGUUCUAAGGCCACGUCAUCUCUUGGCGUCUCACCCUCAGAGUAUGAGACAAUGAGAAAUCUUGUUUCUACUUUAACAGAGGAGAACAAGAAGCUAAAGGGAAAAAUGGGGACAUAUGAUGAAAAAUUUGCAAACUUGGACAGAUUCUUGGAGACCUUUCCUUAAAGCAUGGCUUCACGCUCUGUUGAACAAUCACCUACAAAUCAGCAUAACAUAGAUGAUGAAGAAUUAGAGGAUGAUUUGGAUGGCAUUUGAUUUAGAUGAAUAUAUGUAUUUGAUACUAUGUUUUUAAUUAUACUUGACAUUUUACCAUGACUAUGUAUGGAUUCACUACUAUGGUUAUGUAGGUUGAUGAACAUGAUCUUAAAUAUGAAACUUCAAAUCAAUAGUAUAUUUUGAAUUACUUCUA